CCCAAACUGGCACUAUUUAUUUUAUUAUACUGAAUGUCUUAAUAUCAGAGAAAAUUUUACUGCUUUUAUAUAGAAAUUGAAUUCUAAGGCGAACCGUACGAAAUAUUUUUCCAUUCUGUUUCUUCCACAUCUCCGAUAUGCUUCGUUAGAGCAAAGUGAACCUAAGUCAGAGGGUCACGGACGAGAAUCACACGAUGUGGGUGGCUAUUUCAAAUGAAUCUGGAUGUCUUAAGUCAGACUUGCAAUCACCUAGCAGCCCUUUUGUUUCGAGGGUCAGCAAAUAAACUAGGUCUUACAUCGUGCACAUCAUUAAUAUGCCAGGAAGGUCCCAGCAGCAACUAAGGUGGUGCCAACAAAGAUAAAAGAUUUGACCAUUCGAAAGUAGCGCCAUGGGCAAGAAAAAAACAAGACCAUUAGUUUCCAAUCUGAAAAUCCAGUUUAAACCGCUUGAGUCCUUGAACAUUGACAGGAAUACAUUUAAAAAGAAAAGCAGUCCAAAAUGCUUGUCUGUUGAAAGGUGCAGAUAUACCUGAAGUAUUGCUUCUUGAAAAUUCUCAAGAACUUGGACAACAGGCAUGUGAAGUGGAAGACUACCGGUACUGCCUCAACAACAUCGCCUCAGGUCAUCAGACAGUUGAGGACUUUAUUGACCAUCAAUUGCUGACAGAAAAUGAAGUCAACCUCAUUGAGGAAAAGACUGUAGGACAUAGUAGUAACUCUUUAUGGCUGGAUCUGAAAAAAGACAGGAUUACUGCUUCAAAUUUUUAUGCCGUUCAUACUCGCAUGAAUUCACUGAAGAAAAAUCCUGAAGUAGAUACGAGUUCGAUUGUGUCGGUGAUAAUGGGUGAAUCAACUCCUAAUUCUAACAUCAAAGCAUUGAGGUUUAGAAGAGAAUCUGAGCCACUUGCAAUGUCUAUCUACUGUAAUAUGUAUAAAGAUAACCAUGUCAAUGCAAAAUUUAGGGAAUGUGGAAUCUUUUUACAUCAUGAGUUUUCUUAUUUAGCUGCUGGUCCUGAUAUGUUGAUGUCAUAUGAAUGUUGUGGUGAAGGCCUUUUGGAGGUAAAAUCAACAUUGAAACCAAAAUGUGAUUCAUGCCCUUCAUUUUGUUUAUGUAAUGUACCAGAUUAUCUUUUAUCUACUGAUGGUGAAAUAGACAUUAAGAAAAAUCAAGUUUAAGGGCAGAUGAUCAUUACUAAGCGCAGGUGGUGUGAUUUUUUUGUGCAUUCCUGUAAUGGUAAUUUUCUGAAAAGAAUCAAUUUUGAGGACAAAUACUUUGCAGAUGUUCAAGUUAAUUUGAUUGAUUUCUUUAAAACAAUCAUUGCACCAAAAGUUUGUGAAAAAUUAAAUAUACCUGUUAUUUUAUGCCAAGUAAAAAUGUUGAGUGAAUGUGAACCAAAACCAAUGGAGGUUGAAAGUAAUGGAGGUGUUUAUUUCUGUUUGAUUUGUAAAAGCUAGAUUCAAGAAAGUGUAAAAUCAUUUUCACAGCGCAGCAUUUGUUGUGAUAUGUGUGAUAAUUGGUAUCACUUUAAAUGUGUAGGCAUGUCAAAGUCAGUUUUGAACAGUGCUUCUUGGUUUUGUUAAACUUGUCAAUCAUGUAAUGCUUAAACUUCAUACCAUUUUGUCAACAGAUACACUGGAUUUGUAAAUUUCUUAUGAUGUAAUACAAGUUGAAUACUGUUUCUGUAGUGAAAUAUAGAUUUAUUAUUAAACUUUCCAUGAAAAUG
rnacentral:sRNA from 1 species